rfam:Ciona savignyi cont_40264, whole genome shotgun sequence.
GGUAGCGUGGCCGAGCGGUCUAAGGCGCUGGUUUUAGGCACUAGUCAUUUCGAUGGCGUGGGUUCGAAUCCCACCGCUGCCA